CUGCAAAUAUUCUUGCUGUUCUGAUUUUGUAACCAUCAGGGCAAGCUCAACAUUUGCUAAAUUAAGACCAUGCAUGUGUCUCCAGACCUCGUUCUUUUCCUAGGUCUGGUUUUAUAAGUGCUGGAGAUAAAA
ensembl:snoRNA SNORA72 Small nucleolar RNA SNORA72